rnacentral:lncRNA from 1 species
UCCUCCUCUGCAACCGUCCUUUGAGUCUCCUUCCUUCACCAUAGAUUUGCCCUGUUCUCGCCUCACCUUCGCCCGUGUUUUAGCCUUUUCCUGAUUUCUGGCUCUUACUCGUGGGCAGGUACAAAUGCCUAAGCUGUUAGGUUGUAAAAAAAAAAAAAAACCCGAUGGCUCUCUUUCCCGUGAGCUGGGUUUCCUGAGAGCCAUCUGAAUCCCAC